rnacentral:rRNA from 1 species
UAGGGAAUCUUCCACAAUGGGCGCAAGCCUGAUGGAGCAACACCGCGUGAGUGAAGAAGGGUUUCGGCUCGUAAAGCUCUGUUGUUAAAGAAGAACACGUAUGAGAGUAACUGUUCAUACGUUGACGGUAUUUAACCAGAAAGGAACGGCUAAAUACGUGCCAG